rnacentral:rRNA from 1 species
UACGAAGGGGGCUAGCGUUGCUCGGAAUUACUGGGCGUAAAGGGCGCGUAGGCGGCACUGUUAGUCAGGCGUGAAAGUCCUGGGCUCAACCUGGGAACUGCGCUUGAUACGGCAGAGCUAGAGGAUGGAAGAGGCUCGCGGAAUUCCCAGUGUAGAGGUGAAAUUCGUAGAUAUUGGGAAGAACACCGGUGGCGAAGGCGGCGAGCUGGUCCAUUACUGACGCUGAGGCGCGACAGCGUGGG